rnacentral:lncRNA from 1 species
CUAAAGAUGCAUGAAAAGUGUUUAGAUGUGUUGAGAAAGACUUGUUGAAAUUGGGUCCCAAAUGGGCUAAGAACUUGGAAACAUUGCGUUGAACCACUAAAUGACUUAUCUAGUGUUGUUUGGGGUUAGAAUAUGUUAGAAUACAAUAAAUUUGAUUGAUUAUAAGUACUAAAGAUGCAUGAAGAGUGUUUAGAUGUGUUGAGAAAGACUUG